UGCAAUCGCUAGGAAGCAGCCAUUUCUUCCGACUGACCGGUUGCCAAUGGAAAAGAGUCGAUGCUGCAGCUUUUGUUGUUGUCAAGAGAGAUUCUGGUGUUUGUUGCAUUGCGGGGGGUGUUUUGAAAGAGAGCUGAACGGAGAAACGUGCCAGUGGCCCAAUGGGUUAGAGCAUCUGGCUGUUAACCAGAAGGUUGGUGGUUCGAGACCACCCGGGGACGGCUGUAUUGCAGAGGGUUGGACUAGAUGACUUUGGGAGUCCCUUCCAACUCUGAUGAUUCUAUGAAAUAUGUCGUACGAAACCGGUUGGGCUGGCUGGAGAUAUAUAUGUGACAUUUCCUUCAUCGCGGGGAGCUAUGCCGAACCAGCGUGUCGAUGGCGCGCGCAUCUGUUGUGUGUGUACGUGGCAGACGCGUGUACGUACUCUGGGCUGGAACAUGGUUGAAGAAUAUGAAGAAGUGGAAACCUACAAGGAAUUGUUGGAGGCAG